rnacentral:rRNA from 1 species
CAGUCGCCGCGGUAAUACGGAGGGGGCUAGCGUUGUUCGGAAUUACUGGGCGUAAAGCGCACGUAGGCGGAUAUUUAAGUCAGGGGUGAAAUCCCGCAGCUCAACUGCGGAACUGCCUUUGAUACUGGGUAUCUUGAGUAUGGAAGAGGUUAGUGGAAUUGCGAGUGUAGAAGUGAAAUUCGUAGAUAUUCGCAGGAACACCAGUGGCGAAGGCGGCUAACUGGUCCAUAACUGACGCUGAGGUGCGAAAGCGUGGGGAGCAAACAGGAUUAGAUACCCGCGUAGUCCCUGUCUCUUAUAC